GUAAAGCUGAGCGCUGGCGUUCUUGGUCCCAGACCGCCGGUACCCGGCGUCCUUCCUUAUCCGGGACAGCUUGGAGCCCUGGAUGACCUGAGGAGCCAGGAGUCACACUCAGACUGCACCGUGGAUCGUCCUUAUUCAGCUGUGAACGAAUCUACAGGAAAAACCUAACUGGAAUGUGCCAGGCUCUAGCCAGAGGAGACCCCAAAAAUAUGAACUGCAACAGAUAACGAGCCGCUGGCUCCGACGCAUCUGCGACCAGUCUCGGGGUGCUUUAUCCACACGCUGGAUUCAUUCCAUGAUGCUGAGUGAGGAAAGCUGGAUUCUAGUCGCAGCCCGGCCAUGACCAACUACUUGACCUUGGCCCACGUGUUCUCAGUAUGGAGACAACACCAGCUAUGACCGCUGAUUUGAAGCAUGUCCUACCUUCUGCAGUUUCUCAGGUCCAUCGACCUCCAUCUCUCUUCUGUGGCUUCAUCAGAGAAGGAUGAGUGAACAGUGCUGGUUCCCUGUCCUGUGCUGAGAUGACAUUGCAGGGGUACAGAGGAGACAAGCCACGGACAACCUGUAGCAACAGGAGGAGGAGAAUUAAUAGGAAGGUAAGACCAGAGACUUUCUCUCUGCCCCGCACCCCACCUGCCAACCACGCUGGAUCUCAGACAUCUGACCCAGCUCAGCUCAUGGAAUGCUUCUUCUGAGACUUCAGGUCACAGAGAGUGAUGCAAGGACACAGAGGCAGGUGAGAGACCACCCCCGACAGCCGAGCCCAAGGAUGAGAGUCCAGCAGCAGCACCAUCAAGCAGAGUGUGGGACUUUGGCAUUGAGUGGCCAGGGGCAGCUGUGCCUGGCAGCAUCUUCAUCACACUGACCCUGAGGGGUGACCUUGGCUGUGAUACCCACUGCCUGGCCUCUUGUUCUGGUCAUCCUAUGAGCCUGGUUUGCCAGCCUCUCUUCAAUUCUCAAGCUACCUGAUAUCUUUCCA
rnacentral:lncRNA from 1 species